GGACUCUCACGGAUCCGGUUCCGCCCUCCCUUUCGCUUGCCGACCCUUAGGGGCUUUAGCCGGAGAUCUUUUUCCCAGAGUGCUCUGCGUUGUGAAGGAGCGGCUCUCCGGGACUGGGGGCAUUUUGUGUUGGCUGGAGCCGAAGGAAUAAGAUGGCGGCGUCGGCGGAGUGACAGGGGUUCCUCCGAGCGGGAGCCGGCGGCAGUGGUGGCAUCGGUAGCGCCGCCCUAACUCGCCGCGCCCCUUUUUCAGUCCGCGACGUCGCCGCGAAAGCGAGGCAGCAGCGGCCGCCCAGAAACAAGUGGCCCAGCCUGGUAACCGUGAAAACCCGCUUAGAAACUGCGGCCUGGCAAAAAGGAGCCUGAUUGAGAGGCGGCGAUCAGGUUUUCCUCGGACGAUUUUGGACCCUGUAACGUCGAGAAAGAGCCUCCGUUUUCCGUUUCCUGCCGCCCUGCUCCGCAGCCUUGCUUCGUGGACGGGCCCCGGAGGCCCUUGUCCUCCCAGAGGUGUUGGGGCUUGGCCCCAGCCCUCCAUUUUCGUCUCUCAGGAUGGCGAGCAGCAGCGGCUCCAAGGCCGAAUUCAUUGUCGGAGGGAAAUAUAAACUGGUACGGAAGAUCGGGUCCGGCUCCUUCGGGGACAUUUAUCUGGCGAUCAACAUCACCAACGGCGAGGAAGUGGCAGUGAAACUAGAAUCUCAGAAGGCCAGGCAUCCCCAGUUGCUGUACGAGAGCAAACUCUAUAAGAUUCUUCAAGGUGGGGUUGGCAUCCCCCACAUACGGUGGUAUGGUCAGGAAAAAGACUACAAUGUGCUAGUCAUGGAUCUUCUUGGACCCAGCCUCGAAGACCUCUUCAAUUUCUGCUCAAGAAGGUUCACGAUGAAAACUGUACUUAUGUUAGCUGACCAGAUGAUCAGUAGAAUUGAAUAUGUGCAUACAAAGAAUUUUAUACACAGAGACAUUAAACCAGAUAACUUCCUAAUGGGUAUUGGGCGUCACUGUAAUAAGUGUUUAGAAUCUCCAGUGGGGAAGAGGAAAAGAAGCAUGACUGUUAGUACUUCUCAGGACCCAUCUUUCUCAGGAUUAAACCAGUUAUUCCUUAUUGACUUUGGUUUGGCCAAAAAGUACAGAGACAACAGGACAAGGCAACACAUACCCUACAGAGAAGAUAAAAAUCUCACUGGCACUGCCCGAUAUGCUAGCAUCAAUGCACAUCUUGGUAUUGAACAGAGUCGCCGAGAUGACAUGGAGUCAUUAGGAUAUGUUUUGAUGUAUUUUAAUAGAACCAGCCUGCCAUGGCAAGGACUAAAGGCUGCAACAAAGAAACAAAAGUAUGAAAAGAUUAGUGAAAAGAAGAUGUCCACUCCUGUUGAAGUUUUGUGUAAAGGGUUUCCUGCAGAAUUUGCUAUGUACUUAAACUAUUGUCGUGGGCUGCGCUUUGAGGAAGCCCCGGAUUACAUGUAUCUGAGGCAGCUGUUCCGCAUUCUUUUCAGGACCCUGAAUCACCAAUAUGACUACACAUUUGAUUGGACAAUGUUAAAGCAGAAAGCAGCACAGCAGGCAGCCUCUUCCAGUGGGCAGGGUCAGCAGGCCCAAACCCCCACAGGCAAGCAAACUGACAAAACCAAGAGUAACAUGAAAGGUUAGUAGCCAAGAACCAAGUGACGUUACAGGGUUAAAAAUUGAACACAAAAUUGGGUAAUUCAUUCGUUUCUAACAGUGUUAGAUCAAGGAGGUGGUUUUAAAAUGUAUUAAAAAAUUUGGCUCUGUUUUUUUUUUUAAAAAGACGUCCUUGGAAAAUUUGACUACUAACUUUAAGCCCAAAUGUCCUUGUUCAUAUAUAUAUAUGUAUAUGUAUUUGUAUAUACAUAUAUAUGUGUGUAUAUAUUAUAUCAUUUCUCUUGGGAUUUUGGGUCAUUUUUAACAACUGCAUCUUUUUUACUCAUUCAUUAACCCUUUUCCAAAAGAAACAUUUGGUGUUGGGAAUAUAGUAAAAUCAAUUAAUCCAAAAUCCUAGACCUAACACUUGUUGAUUUUUAAUAACGAAUCUGGUUAGCCAUGGUGUAUUUCCUUCAGACUAACAUUGUUAUGAAUUUUCUGCAUGUUAAUGCUUUAGCAUUUAAGAUAGAAAAUUGUGAACUUGAUUUAAUUGUAAGAGGUGAAUCUGGCAUUUUCCCCAAAGUGUCUAUCUUUUCAUUUGUAGAGCAUCUCAGUUUCCCUCUUCAAUGCUCAGAUAACUGGAAAGCUUGACGUCUCUUUCCUGGUCACAAGAUAAAAAUCUUUUAAUUGCUCUUUAAGUGCAUAUGUUCUUAAUUUUAAAACAGUUCAUUUCCAUGUGGCUUUGGAUUUUUUUUUUUUAAUUUUGCACAUACUCAGGCUCUAAGGGUCCAAUGUGGAGUUGAAAUCUGCAGUUAGGCCUUGCCAAUUGAAGAUACCUGGGGCAAAUGCCAUCAAACUGCUACUCUUACUUCCUUUCAACUUUUCCCUGCUGUUCUUAGUUUUAUUAAAGAGUAGAACUGUUUGGCACAGUUCCAUUUCUUAGCACUGUUGCCAUACAGUUCCACUCCUGUGUUUCACGUUUUUUGUUUGUUGGCUUGCUUUUCUUUUCCCUUACCUCUCAAUACCUGCCUACUUUGUGUAAGUGGUGGGCAGGUAAGGUUUGGAUUUUCGUUUCUGAUAAUUUAAUUUCUGAAUGACUGCGCUAGUCUGAACUUGGCCUUUAUAGAUUAAUCUCUCUGGUCCAUAUUUUUACUGUUUAUUUAAACAGUUUUGUAAUUUAAAAAUAAAUUGUUGUUUAAGGAUACUUUUCUAAAAGUAUAAUUAGCUGAUGUCAUCCUCAUCCCAGCAGCUCAUCUGUUAGGAAUAAAGUUGAGAUACUUCCCUUUCUUGUUUCUGUACUGGGGAAGGUUUCAAAAUUGAAGGUUUAUAUAGUGUAGAGGUUCUUAGAUGAUGAAGUUUAAUUUAAGCUCAGGAUUGCAAACACUAAUGCUUGCUCAGUGCUCUGCCUCUACAUUUCAGUUGGGAAUUACUUGCCCCUUUUGAGUGUUUUAAUCAUUGUAUAAGUAAUCUUAAUGUCAAGAAAUUCUCAAAGAGGUUGGUGUCGAGUGUUACUGAAAAAUGGUCCUACUGGGUAAGUAAGACCAAGUAAAAGUGUACCACUGAGAGUUGGCUACACUUGGCACCUAUAUUGUGGUUGCUUUUCCUUAAAAAAUGAAACCAGUUUUUGCUUAAAGCUAGCUGGGAUAAUGGGAUCAUCAUGAGUUGCCGUUUUUAGAACUAAAAUUAGAUUGAAAUCUCAUCUGACCUAGAGCAUUUCACUUCAGGCAUUCAGCAGCCUUCAGAAAGAAUUACCUUAUUCUGAUCUAGUUUCAUUGUUAGUUUACUGUGUGUUUUUUUACUCAAUAAACCAGUAGAAUUUUUGUCCUGCCUUAUCCAGGUCUUAAAGAUGAGAAGUUGGAUCCACUGAGUUAGUAUGUUUCCUUGAAAAAAAAUUGUAAUUAAACUUAAGUUUAAUCCUUCUUUUGUAUUGUAACUAUUUUUCAUAAAAGCAACUUAAAAUCAGAGAUUUCAUAGCAUUGUUAAACACAGUGGUUAAACAAAUUCUUACAUACAUAUGUACUUGCAAGAUUUUGAAAAGUUUGGUUUUCACAUAUUAUCGACUGACUACUUUCAGAGAUGUAUUUCCAGGAAAUAUAUUUUGACUCCAAGCAAAAUAUCACUUGUUCCUAGAAUGCUCCACUCCCCAGAAUACAAACAAAAGGGUUAUUUUUGCUCUUUGACUUCUUGAAAGUAUCCAUAUCAUUUUGGGUGCAGAACUUAGUGCUCAAAGUGCUCAAAACAGGUCUUAUGUGACACCACUUAUGGAUAAAGCCAUGAAAGUAUAGCAGAAAUGAAGGUGGCAUGAAAUAAGCACGAGGGAGCCUAUUCUCCUAAUCUCUACCCUCACACCGUCAUCUGGGUCAUCCCUGAAGGAUUCUCCCAGAAAUUCUGGAGGUUGAAAGUGAUCACCCUGCGUUAUUCGUGAUUCCAAUUGUUAAAUAUAAGGGUGUUUGAAAGCGUACUCUUUUAGAGUCAGCUGCAGUAGAUUAUUUUAAGGAAGAGCUCAUGUAGCUAAAUGAUUCAUUGAUCACAAGAAGUACUUUCAGUGAUGAUGAAAACACCAUAUCACAUUUUUCUAGUUAAAAUUUUUUAAAGGUGCUUUUUAAAAUGCAUUUGUUCUUUGCAGAGUUAUUCUUUGAGGUUUGCACGUCAGGGAAUCCCAUUUCAUAAAUGAAUCUUUGAUGCCAUGUAGGUCUUUAUAUUGUAAGAAUAUUCAUUCCUUGAACACUCAAAUGGUGGCAUUCGCUAAUUAUUUUAUAUGAAUAUUUUGAAAAAUGUAUAUGUAAUGUUUCCUCUGAGGAACACAACUAUAAGAUGUUUUAGCAAUUCACUAAUAAAUUUCCAAAGGCUCUUUAGAUUCUGGUUUAUUCUGCUACCAUGGGCAUAAUAUGUAAUAGGCAAACUUCUGUCCUGAUUUCUUUUCUUUAGGUGUUUUCAAAUAAUCCAUUCCAAAGCCCAUUAAAGGACUAAGAAACAUCCUAAUGCCCAUCAUGAACUAUAUUAGCUGUAUUAGUUUUUCAGUGCUGUAGUACCACAAAAGUAUAGCUAUUGUUUUUAUUUAUGCUUGAGAUGAAUAGAAGGUUCACAUCUGGCACACUUGUGUAUCUAUUCUAUUCCCUUUUCCUCAAAUAUGUGAUUAUCAGAAAGGUAGUUUUGAAGACAUUUAAAAAUUGGUCAAGGAGAAGGAAAUAUUUUUAGGACAUCAUUCAGAAUCCAAUUAGGAUCAUCACUUUCUUUACGGAAGAGAGUGGGGGCAGGGAUAAUUCUGUUUUUCUCUGCUCUCAUCAUCGUAACUCAUCUUUUCAUUAUCCCAGCCAUAGAUAACUAAAUGUAGUUUUAUCAUAAUGAUAUAGUGGAUGUCAAAUUGUUGGCAUUCAAGAGAGGUUAGAAAUAUUUUCCCAUCACAUUAGCCCACCAUGUCCAUGGUCUUCCUUGAAUUGCCUCCCAGUAUUUACUGGGCUUCACCUGCCAUUUAUGUCUAGCUUAACUUUUUCUGGCUUCACCAAUUGCUGCUAGGAACGUGGCUGGUCACUCAGCAACGUAACCCAAAUCACAGGGGAAGACCUUGAAAUUGAAAUAUCUGGAAAGACUGAUCUGCUCUGAAUACACUCAGUCCAAAGAAGUGCCAGAGAGCCGUGUCUACUGCAGUCUUGAAUUUUUGUCAUCUUUUUCCACUGUGGACAAUAAAGCUGAGUAGAAAAGAGCUAAAUAACUCAACAGUAAUAGAAGAUAAGAGUGCAAGAGAUGGCUUGUGGUCUGGAGCUCACAUCCCCAAGGCGUGAUGGACCUGUUAAACUUCAACUUGUCAGAUUGUCUGGAUGACAUCACAACAGUCAGGAGACCUUGAAGAGUACAGUGUUGCUGUGACUCAUUGGUGUACAAUGCAGACCAUCCACGAGUUUGAAAAGGAAUCAAUUGUAAAAGGAACAAAGGGAUUUUAUCCCAUAUUUUAACUGUUGUUACAGUGAAGAUGGUUUUUUUGAACUUUUGGAAGCCAGGAGACGCCACCAAAACUGCAAGAUAAAAACCAAGGACUAAUGUACCCUGGCGAAAAGAAUGCUUAGUACUUGAAGAUUGAAUAUUGAAUACCUGCUGAAUGUUCAUAUUGAGGUUUUUCCUAAACAAACUUCAUUAACAUUUGAGGACAAUUCACUGCAGAAACAAUAAUCCCUGGGUGGAGGAGCCUACCAUUGGCCCAUCUAAAGAGUUAAAUCUGGAUUUGACUGCUCUAUUCCACUAGGAGCAUUGUUAAGCUAGUCAUUAAACAAUUCCUGAGCACUUAUAAUCAUUGAUUGACCUAGCAGUUCCUCAAAUAUCAGAUUGAAAGAUGAACAGACGUAAUUCUUAUAUAGAGCUUCCCUAUUAUUAAAGACGCAAGAGUUUUGUAAUACUUUGACUAACAGUGUAAUGUAUCUUUCCUUUUUAGUUUCAGUGACAGUGGCUUUCCAUUUUAAAGCCCUGUUUGGUUUAUUCAACGUAAUAAUCACAUUAAUUGAUAUAAUGUAAUUGUAUUUGCAAGCUGUGAUAAUAGAAAACCCAGUACUUCUAGUAUUUGUGAAAAUAUUUUUCUUAUUGUGUUCAAGAGUAAUUGCAGGACUUGAACUUGGGUAAGGUUGUUUCCAUUUAGUUAAUCCAUAGUUUGUUAAAAUAUUCUGUGAAAAUAUCCUGUAUUUUAAAAUUGGAAUUAGGUUAUAAAGUAUGGUCAGAUUUUUAAAUUUGAUUGAAGUUGACUUGACAGCCUUUUCUUUUUAUGUUUUUCUUGCUAAUUCUAUUUAAUAAUGUAUAUCAAAGAAAAAAUAUUCCUUGUGGUAAAGUACAUUCUUAGUUUUAUCUUUUUUUUUUUUUUUAAGUUUCAUUAUCUUUCAUUUUUGGUAUUUGCUUCUUAUGAACUUAGUACUCAGCCAACAGAGGUCUAUUCUGUACCUACUCUCUUGUUGGGCACUAUGGAGAGAAAAAGAAGUACAGCACUCAAAUAUUUAUUCUCAGUGCUUGGUACAAUAUGUUCAUUAAAUGAAUGACGAUGACUGCUUCUGUCCUCAAAUGAAAAAACUCCUAGUUAUCAAGUGAGAAUAUUUACCAAAAUAUGGUAUAUAAAUUUUUGAUCUUAUCUGUAAAAAAAAACAAAACAAAGGCAUUCAUGCAUAAAAAGUAAAUAAUAGAAGUAUUUUAUUUAUCCCACAAAGCCCAUAGGAGAUAAUCCAACAGUUUCUGUUUGGUUGGUGAAAGAAUAGGAGCAGUUCACGAUUGAGGGAAAACAUGGUUUUUGAUACGGAACUGUGAGGAGAGACCAAAGUACACUGGAAUGAGCUAUGAUUAGGUGGACUGUAGGGCUUGGAAAGUGGGGGUGGGUGGGUAUUGAUGCUUCAAAGAAAGGGUAGCUAUAGGUGAGAGAAGAUGGUUAUGGGAUUUUCUUGUUCCUGUGCUACCGCUUUGUCCAUAGUGGUAGCACACAGCAGUAAAACCUGAAGGCUUCUCUUGUGUUUGCACUUGCCUUUAUGUAGAAUCGUAAAGCCAAAUUGUUGAGUAGGAGAAAUACAUAACCAAGCAUCGUUUUUAAUGCAACUCAUGGAAGUAUAGUAUUUUUAAAUGUUAAGUUUGCUGUACAGAAAUCAUAUAUUUAUAAGGUUUGUGAUAAUAUCCCUGAUACAUUUCUUAUAAAAACGUAUCAUUCCUUAUCUGUAUUAGAAAUAACGUGCAUAAAAGUUCCAGCUCAUAAUAUGAUUAAAACUCAACUCUACUUCUAGUUGUUAAAGCAAAGCAAUCUAUUUUUCUUUCCUUCUACAGAUACUUGAACACAUAUGUUCUAGGUGCUAGAAAUACAGAAGUGAACCAAAGAGGAUCAUUUGAAUUACCCAUAAUUCUCUAGCUUGAGAAUUGUAUGCUAACUGGGAGGUUUUAAUUUUCUUGUACCACUCCUACCUAGAGUCAUCUGAAAUAGAGAAGUUUUACAUUAUAGCUUCAUGGUUUUCUGUUUUAAAAAGUUAAGUUAGUGUAGAGACACAGAGUAUAUUCAGAGGUUACCAAGACUAGAGGAAAGGGGGUGGAGUUGCUUGGUGUGGGUAAAGAGGGUGUGUACAUUUUGGAAACUAAAAAAAAAAAUUGAGCGAGUGAUUUUCAAAUGGAUGAAAAGUAGCAUGAGCCACUUUUAUAAAGUAAUUAUUGGUCCAGUUCAACCUGAUUUCUCUGUUUGGGGUACAGGUUUUGAAUUUCAUUUUUUGCAUGAAACUUUAACAUACUUUUCUUUGUUUUGAUUUUUUAACAGGUUUCUAAGCAUGAAUGACAGAAGAAGCAGAGCAGAUGAUCGGAGCAGCAUUUGUUUCUCCCCAAAUCUAGAAAUUUUAGUUCAUAUAUACACUAGCCAGUGGUUAUGGACAACCAUUUACUUGGUGUAAAGAACUUAAUUUCAGUAUAAACUGGCUCUGGGCAGCAUUGGUGGUGCUGUAUCCUGAGUUGUAGCCGCUGUAAUUGUGAAUAUUAACUGAGAUAGUGAAACAUGGUGUCCAGUUUUCUAUUGCAUUUUUUCAAGUGGAAAAAGUUAACUAAAUGGUUGACACACACAAAUUGGUGGAGAAAUUGUGCAUAUGCCAAUCUUUUGUUAAAACUUGAUUUUGAACUAUUCUGCUUUGAGAUCUCAUUUCAGAAGAACGGCAUGAACAGUCUUCAGCCACAGUUGUGAUGGUUGUAAAUGCUCACAAUUGUGCAUUCUUAGGGUUUUUCCAUCCCUGGGGUUUGCAAGUUGUUCACUUAAAACAUUCUUAAAAUGGUUGGCUUCUUGUUUGCAAGCCAGCUGAUAUGGUAGCAACCAAAGAUUCCAGUGUUUGAGCAUAUGAAAGACUGCCUGCUUACCUGUGCUAGAAAUAACAGCAUCUAAAGUGAAGACUUAAGAAAAACUUAGUGACUACUAGAUUAUCCUUAGGACUCUGCAUUAACUCUGUAAUGUUCUUGGUAUUAAAAGAAAAAAAUUGUCACAGAGAUUUAGUUAACAUCUUAAAAUUGAACCAUGUAUGUAUGUUGCUUAGAUAAAUGUAAUCACUGUAAACAUCUAUAUGAUCUGGGAUUUUGUUUUUAUUUUGAAAUGGGAGCUUUUUGUUUACGAGUUCAUUAAAAACUAAAAACUGUUUCUGUAAGGAGAUUUUUUAAACAAAAAAUGCCUUGCUGACUCAUAAUGGAAUCAAAGUCUCCCCACUUUUUUAAUAGACUACUUCAAGCCAUUUGUUAAGUAAUAAUCCUUUGCAAAUCAUUUUAGAUUUAGUAUUACAACUUUUCCUAAAUUUCUUUUUAAUUUUUUUUUUAAUCAUCUGAAGGGGAAAGGCAUUCUUUCAUUUUUCUUUUUUUAAUGACUUGCAGGCCCAAUACUUAGUACUGCAACUGCCAGGACUUGGUAUUGUGACUCCUGCUGCCAUUGACUUAACAGCUGGACUGAUUUUGAAUAAGAAUUAAAGCAUUAAAGGGUUGGACUACAAAAGGACAUUUUCUUUAAAAUCUUUGUGAAAUGGCUAUAACCAUAUUGACUCUUACUCUUGGAGAGCACCACGCUAUGUGAGGUUCAUGUGAUUGCUGACCCUCCCUGGUCCCCACCCACUGCUGUAGGUUAUUUGUGUGUGUGGGCUUCCUCUCUCAAUCUCAUUUGCGCAUUUUCUUUUUCUCUCUCUGACCCAAGAGAAAGAAAAACUUACUGGCGAUAAUUCUUUAAAUAGUGUAAUUUAUUCAUUUAUAGCAUGUCGGAAUAAAUUAAAAGAACAUUUGUCUGAAAACGCUGCCAGGAGCCUAUUGUGUAAAUGUGGGUAUUUUGUACAAUAACCUUGAAACUGUAAAUCAACACAUGCUUGGUUGAAUUGUGUCAGGUUUAGUUUUUAAUUUUUAUUGUUUGAAAACUACUUUAGCAAUAAUUAAUUCCAUGAUUAAUUACAACAUUCUGCCAUUAAGGGGUGUAAUUAGUACCAUAAUACUGCAGAAACCUUAAUUAUGAACUUUUGGGUUAGGCAGCUGCUUUGUUUCUUUUCUAUUUACCCUUGUCAGUUAAGGUAUUUGUUUCUUGACUAAUAAACCCUUUGAUACUUUUAGCCAGAAAUCAGUCUCAUAAAGCUAUUUUUAAGUAUAGUUUGUGUAAAAAUAAAAAUGUUUAGCAUUGGUAAUAACUUUUCCAAGCUGAACUCCCUCUAGCAAGAUAUUUUUCAGUGCUUUUAUUUACUAUGCACUUAGACUAUGCACUUUUUCUGAAAUAUUUUUGUAACACUUAACUUUUUUGUAUUUUUGCCAUUUGAAAAGGUGGUGUAGUUGCUCUGUAAUUAAGUUGCAGAUUUAAAACUGCUGUUAGCUUUGUAAAUCAAAAUAUAGGUGUUUGUCCUGAUAUAUCGUCAUUCCAUCUGCAGCUGGAGCUGGAAUCCCAUUGAUCUUCUAGCUACCAUUCAUUUUCUUCACAGUUCACAAAAGAAGAAUGUGAAAUUCAGUGAAUGCUGUUACUAAUCCUGUCUGGAGAUGAAUCUCAUUUCACCAAAUUUAAAUUAUGUUUUUCCACUAAAAUGAUGGUACAAGUUGAAGACACAUCACUCUGAAAUUGGAAGACCUCACCACUUAAGUCUCCACAGUGGCUUACUCAGCUGAACUCUAGGUUACUACUCUUUACUUUGUUCACCCAUUGAGGGGUGUGGCUUUUUUAAAUGUUGGGAGAUGGCCAUUCUAACUACUGUUGAAUGUCUGUUUUGGGAAGGUAUAACAAGAAAAUAAAAAAGAAUAUAUAUGAAGGGAGAGACUGGUUAUCUCCUCCCAUAUGGUUGUGCUUAUA